CCAAAUUCCAAAUUCCAAGUUUCAAUUUCUCUCUCCAAAUUUGAGGAGGAAUUUGGUGCUUUCUUUGCAGGACGACAAGGAGUGGAAGAUGAAAGGGAUUUCAAAUAUGGGAAAAUUAUCCAGAACCCCAACUCAAUGGAGCCAAACAAGCCAUAUUUUGAGGAACUUCGUAGGGUUUCUAUCAAUGAGUGGAUAAUGGGUUAG
rnacentral:lncRNA from 1 species